UAAACUAGGAUUAGAUACCCUAUUAUUGAAAAUGCAAAUUUGUGAUGCUUGAGUAGUAGUAGUUAUGUUCUUGAAAUUUAAAGAAUCUGGCGGUAUUUUAGUCUAUUCAGAGGAACCUGUCCUGUAAUUGAUAUUCCACGAUUAAUUGUACUUGUUUUUAGUUUGUAUAUCGUCGUAGGUUGAAUGUUUUAAAAGAAAUGGGAAUGUUCAAGAUUUAUGUUAUAUAAAAGAAAUCAGAUCAAGAUACAGCGUAUAGAUAAGAAGAGAUGGGUUACAAUAAAUUUAUUUGAUGGUUAGAUUAUUUAACAAUAAUUUAUAAAUUGGAUUUGAUAGUAAUAUAAUUUAGUUUAAUUAUAUGAUUAUAGCUCUAAAAUAUGCACAUAUCGCCCGUCGCUCCUUCCUUAAAGAAGGAUAAGUCGUAACAUAGUAGGUGUACUGGAAAGUGUACCUAGAAUGGCAAAUUAGAGCUUGAUAGAAAGCAUUUUAUUUACAUUAAGAAGUUAGUUGUGAGAAUCGAUUUAAUUUGAAAUUACAAAUUUAUUGAUUGAUUGAUUUUAAAAAAAAUAAUUUUUAUAUUAGUAUAGUUAAGAAAAUAGUAUUAUAAUUAUAGUGAAAAGUAUAGAGAUAGAAAUUUGAAUUAUUGUUGAUAUUAAUUAGUAAAAAGAAGAGUUAAUUUUUUGUACCUUGUGUAUCAGGGUUUAUUAAAAUAAGUUAAUUAUAUUAAUAUUCUCGAAUUAGAAAGAGCUAUUAUUAUAUAUAUAUAAUUGUUGCAAAAAUUUUUAAAAUAUAAUAAUAGGAAUGAAACGUUAGUCGUUUUUUAAGAUAUCUAGUUUCUUAAGAAAUAAAUUUAAUUUAGCUUUUUAAUAUUAUAGUAUUACUUGGUUAGUGUUAUAAUUUAAGAAUGUAAUAUUUUAGGGGAUAAGCUUUAAGAUAGAGUAUUAAAAAUUAUUUGUUAUUAAUUGAAAGUUAGUAGGAUUGGAAAUGUUUUUCUAUAGUUUGUUAUAAUUAAUUUUUAAUUGAAUAAGAUUUAUAUAAUAUUUAAGUGUUUUAUUAAGAUUGUUUAUUUAGUUUUAUUUUAUAUGUAAUAAUGAUAAAAUUAGUAUAAGUAUGAUGUAUGAUAUAAUUAUAGUAUAAAGGUUAAGUUAAGGAACUCGGCAAAUAUAUUUUUCGCCUGUUUAUUAAAAACAUGUCUUUUUGAUUAUAAUUUAAAGUCUAACCUGCCCAAUGAGGAGUUAAAUGGCCGCGGUAAUUUGACCGUGCAAAGGUAGCAUAAUCAUUAGUUUUUUAAUUGAAAGCUGGUAUGAAUGGUUGGACGAGAAAAUAACUGUCUCAAUUUAAUUUUAAUUAGAAUUUUAUUUAUAAGUAAAAAAGCUUAUAUAAAUUUAAAAGACGAGAAGACCCUAUAGAAUUUUAUAUUUUUUUGUAUAUUAAUAUAAUAGUAUUAUAAAGUUAUUAUGUAAGAAAAUAUUUUGUUGGGGCGACAGAAAAAUUCAAUAAACUUUUUUUUUAUUUAUUCAUUAAUGUAUGAUUUUAUGAUCCAUUGUUUAUGAUUAAAAGAUUAAAUUACCUUAGGGAUAACAGCGUAAUUUUUUUUUAGAGUUCUUAUCGAAAAAAGAGUUUGCGACCUCGAUGUUGGAUUAAAAUUAACUUUAGGUGUAGGGGCUUAAAGGUUAGGUCUGUUCGACCUUUAAAAUUUUACAUGAUCUGAGUUCAAACCGGAGA
rnacentral:rRNA from 1 species